rnacentral:rRNA from 1 species
UACGUAGGGGGCGAGCGUUGUCCGGAAUUACUGGGCGUAAAGAGCAUGUAGGCGGCAUGUUAAGUCAGGUGUCAAAGUGCGGGGCUCAACCCCGUAACGCACUUGAAACUGGCAUGCUUGAGGGCAGGAGAGGAAAGUGGAAUUCCUAGUGUAGCGGUGAAAUGCGUAGAUAUUAGGAGGAACACCAGUGGCGAAGGCGACUUUCUGGACUGUACCUGACGCUGAGAUGCGAAAGCUAGGGGAGCAAACAGG